AUACUAGUGUCAGAGGAUUAUAUGAGUUGAUUUUAAGCGUCAAAUACAAAGUUUAGCUUUCUAGUAUU
rnacentral:tRNA from 1 species